GGGUCGGUAGCUCAGUCGGUAGAGCAGCGGACUUUUAAUCCGUUGGUCGUGGGUUCGAAUCCCACCCGACCCACCA
rnacentral:tRNA from 2 species